GUGUUGUUCUGGAAUCAGCUCAGAGCAGAAUCAUCAGCAAAUACAAGGUGGCUGCAUACCCCCUGAGCAGAGGUUCUCCUAGAGAGAGGCUCCUGCAGGGCCUCCCUCAGUCACCUGCAGGGCUCAGAGUGACUGUCCCAGCAGCUACCUGGUCUUGUGAAGGUGGAUCUUGCUGUGUGUAAACUGUGGCCAUGCUGCUCAGGACUGAACUUGUUUCUGGUUCCCUCUGGAAGGCUCUGAGGACAGGCCGAAUUGCAAAAUACGAAGAUUUUCCAGAUUUCAUCACUCUGGCCGGAUGAUGAUGACGAUGAUGAUGAUGGUGAUGCUAGCAAACCUACCUGGGGGGGCUCUCCGUGCUAUGUGGCCUUUGGUCUUCAUCAGUUUGCCCUGUGGUGGCCUGGCUGUGGAAUCCCUGCUCAUGUUGUCCAAGCCAGCGAGCCAGAGAGCAGAUGGGUGGAAACCUCCUUCCAGCCUAAUUUGGCCCAAAGUCUAUCACUAUCUGCCAGUCAACGUCUACAGAGCAUUUAUGGUGUGCCAAUGUUCCUCAUGGAUUCCAUGACAAGAUCCUGGCAUUUGUUCAUCGUAUUCCCACCCUAUCCGACUGAGCAUCUCACUGUUUCAGCCUUUGCACCUGUGCACGCUCUGACUCCUCUACAUGGUGUGCUCUUUCUCAGUCUCUAGCUGUCCACUCUUAUCCAUUCACACCCACAAUGUUCACUCCAGGGCUUUGCCCAGGAACUGUGCUCCGCCAACACCUGGGAGUGAUGCUGAAGAACUCACAGAGAGACUGGCCUCCUCCAAAUCCAGGACUCUGAUGAAAUCCACAGUUGCCCCCCUUUGGACUCCACAUGUGGAGCUGAGCAGAAGGAUGUUGGCAUUUGCUCUCCUACUGCUCGGCUCCACCCCUCAUUUUGGGAGGGUUUUGCUCUGGCCCCCUCUCUCUAGUGCCUUGUUUACUGCAGGCAAUGAUUUUAGCUUAAUGGAAUAGGGAAGGAAUUCCCCUUUCAUGUGGUCGGGAAGCGGAGGCCCACACAGAUAUCCAUGCAGUUUUAUGGCCAAGCUGGGGAGUUGGUAAAUUUGUUGAGGAGUGCCCUGAUCCCAACAGCUCGCUGGGAACAAGGCCUAUAAAUAGCUCCUGCCAGUCAAAGCAUAACGAUUUCAAUCUUCCUACUGUAUAAAUAAACAGUAUUGUUCAGGAGUUCUUGGCUGCAGUUUCGGCCUGUACGUCUUGAAGGCUUGCAGAUGAUCCAGCUGGAAUUUUCGGCGAAGGCAAAGGAACUGACAUUUGAAGAGUGACUACCGUGUGCCUGGCCUCAUGUGAGACAUUUAAGUAGGGAAUCCCAUUCAGUCCUCAUGUCAAACAAGAAUCCACAUCAUCCCAUUCAGCUUGCUAGGAGGUGGAAGCUCAUGGACUGUUGGCAGGAGUGUGCCUGGGUCACAGGCCAGUGACAGGGAGAUGAACUCAUAUCUGUCAGACUGCAGAACCCGGGCACCUUCACGUUCCCUCAUUGUCUCAGUCAUCCUACAACAACUCUACAAGAUCAAUAUUUUUGUAAGACUUGUGUUUUCCUUGGUAAUAUAAAUAACACAUGUUCUUUUCUUUAUAGGAAAGUUUGAAAUGCAGAGAGAAAAUUAAAAUCACCUGUAUCCUUACCACCCAGAAAAAUACACAUAAGUAUGUUUUGUUUAUGUUCUCCUGAUGUUUAGACAGGUAAGUAGAUAGAUCUGAGAAGGAGAGAUGACCUUAUGCACAUACUGAUGGAUACAUACUUUUUUGAAACAAAAUUGAAAUAAGAGAGUAGAUUCUA